GUUAUUCUGAAGUCGUUGAAUACUUACGCUACUUUAGCAGGCAUGUAAAGAAGCAGGGGAAUAACGGGAGAUUCCUCAUUGCCAUAGAUAAUGAAUCCCAUUUCAUUCAGUCUCUGUCUGAAGUAUCUCGUGUUUUUUGCCAGCUGCCGUACUCUCUGCAACCCUGAAAGGAGACAGGCAUGAAAUCCAUCAAUUCUCACAAGGAAGAGAGAAGCAAAGAAUCUUUCAGAUCUGCUGAAGAAGAAGUGCACGAAUGAAGUCAUCCUUAAGCUACAUGUUUGUCAUCAUAUGGAAGAAACAUGCUUGAGAAUGAUAUUGACUCAAAGCCAAGGUACAAGACAAUAAGAAUCCUGAUGGCAUCACUGGAACCUUAGGCCUAGCCAUGCCUAAGUUUGCUUUCCAGAGGGUGAAAAACAAAACAAAACAAAACAAAACAAAAGGAAAAUGAUCGAGGUUCAUAAGUUAAUGAAGUUCCUUGAAAGAUCUUGCCAUUUCAACCCACUCUUCCUCUCAAUAACUGAAUAAAAAAAAUCUUU